AUAUAUAAGUAUGUGUUUAUGUAUGUAUGUGUGUGUGUGUGUGUGUGUAUAUAUAUACACACACACACACACACAUAUAUAUAUAUAUAUAAACAA
rnacentral:miRNA from 1 species